GUAGGAGGUAAUAGGAAGAGUCAACACUUGAGAUUUAUUAGCAAUGCUUUGCAUGAAGUCUAAGCUGAGAUUGGAGCCACACUGUGCUAGGUGCUGUACAGACAUCCUGGCUGGAGUGAUCCUGUAUUUCAAAACGUUACCAGAUAACCGAUCCUCCUACUCCUUCAGCUACUUCGGCCAUCUGAUCUCAUCCAGCAGUGUGCUCACACCUUGCUGGUUCGCAGAAGCCUUCUGCUUAGCUGCAGGCUGCCAGUGGUUCAAAGACAGGAAAGGCCCUAAAACUCAGGGAAAUAUAGACACACUAGCUCCAGAAAUUAAAAUGCAAUCCAAACUUGGACUGUGCUAGCAAAGACCUGAGAUUUUGCCUUGCUUACAAGUAAGGUUUGACCUUUCCUCUCCAUUGGGGGGAGAGAGAGAGGCUCUGAGGCCUUGAUCAUCGUGGCGUUGUGUCCACAUGAGCUGCACGGUGCAACUGCAUAGAGUCCCGCUGACUUCUCAGGGGACCUGUCCAGAUUACAGGAACCAGACCGAGGAUGAGAUGGAUCCGAUUCUUCUAUCGCAUAACCCAGGAUAAAUCAGAGCGGCUUCCCUGAAGCUCAGUGGAGUUAUUUCGGUUGCAGCGAAAUCAGCCCCUAUGAUUCUAGACGGAUUAGUGGAAAAGGACCAGUUAAUUAGCUUUGCAAGAUCAAGGCAGAACCGUCUCCAUUUUUGCAUAACUGUUAAGUGAGCUUUAAUAGUACACCUACAUAAAACAUACUGCAUGUAAGCACAGCCAACCCCGUUAGUUAUGCCUGAGCUGAAUUUGACUCCCCCCUCCUCAAAAUAGACCUUAAGAGGGAACUGAAACCAUGUUCACGUUGCAUUUUGCGCUGCAAAGAAAAGUGAAAGUUCAAAUAGGUUUUGAAGCCGACCGAGAAUAAACCUUGCCCCGUGGAAAGUAUUUGCAUGUCAAUGUUUCUGCUUGCAAACUUAAUUACAAAUGAACCUCUCAUCUUGCUGAAAAGUGACACCAGCCUAAUGGCAGAAAGGCAGUAAAAAAAAUUUUUUAAAAAUAAAAGUUUCCAGUCUUGUGAUUAACUCUUCCUACAGAGGGUGCAGCCAUCCCCUCCUGCAGAAUAUCCUGAGGAAAAGGGAAAGUUACGGUACUCUUUCUGCUAGGUUAACUUUGCUGCUGUCUUCAGCUGUGUGCUUCUGGGAGGAAGAGGGGCUUGCUGAUCCAGGGAGAGCUCAGCUGUUUUUAAAAUGUCGAUGGGGAACUCCUGGAAAGCCCACAGGAACAGCUCUCAGUCCCAUUGGGAUCAGUAAGAGUUUUGCCUCUGACUCCCCUGGGACCAGGUCCAGCAAGAAGUGUUUGCAGAGCCACGGAGUCAGUUCACAGAUCUCUUGGGAGAGACGAGACCCGGGGAAACCAAUAAUAGGCUGAAGAGAAUCCCCUUCCCCCUGUUAACUGGAGGCAAUGUCUAAACCAGUGGCUUUCCACCUUUUUGGAUUCAAGGCACCCCUCAC